rnacentral:piRNA from 1 species
UACAACAGGAGCAAAGAAACUUCGACA